AUCAGCGACAGGAUCCAGCGGGGCCGCCCCCCGUCCUUCCUGCUGGAGUUCCACAGUCUGCAGUACGCCCUGAUGCUGAGCGCCUUCGCCGGGGUGCUGGGGGGCGGCUUCUUCCUCGCCACCGCACUCUUCAUCCAGGGUGACCGUAAGCGGGCCGAGCUCAGCACCCAGGGUCUGCUGCCGGAGGAAGCCGAGCCGGAGGACCAGAUUGUGGUGCCGAAGCGCGGCCGAUCCACCAAAGUGCCCGUCUCCAGUGUCCUCAUCUGAGAGCCACCCCCACCCCCGGUGCUGGGGCCGGGUGCCACCAGUCGGGCAGAGACUAUCGCUGCCCCCCACGGGCCAGACGUGGGGCAGGCCGAACUGUGCCAGUUUGGGGGGCUGGUAUUGUAUGUGAGCGUGGAGCCCCCCGUGGAUGGGGCACCCUGGGCUGGGACAAGCCAGGGACCCGCAACUUAACACCCCAGUCCCUGGCGCAGAGAGGGGCUUAGGGACUGAGAGAGGGGGCUCUUGGAUUCCUUGGGGGGCCAUACAGGUUACCAUUGGAUUGUAGGGGGCUGGAGUCCUGCCCCCCCUCCAGCCGCCAUGUUUUCAUCCCAUUAAACUCUUUGUUAGGUCUCCUGCUGCUGCUCUCUGUCCCGGGGGGCAGGACUCCUGGCCGUGCUGCCGGGCUCUGCUCCCCCCUGGGAGGGCACUUGCUCCCCAUUCCGCACCCCCACCCUGAGUGUGAGCUCUGCUCCUCGGUGAGCCACUCGCCCCCUUGCACAAGAGCAUGAGCCCUCGUGCCCCUGUGGGGGAGGCCCCCUCCGAACCUCACACACCUGCUGCUCGCUCAGCGCUACGACUUCCUGCCGGGAGCUCAUUGCCCGCCGCAGCUUCCUGCCGGGGGGAGAGCGCGAGCAGCGUGGCGUGGGUGGCAGCGCCGGAGGAGCCAGCACCGGACGCGCCACGGCCCAGGUGUGAUGGAAGCCGUCUCUCUGACCGGGGUGCUCUGGGCCGUCGUGCUGGUUCUCCCGGCCGUGCUGGCCACGGCUCUCUGCAUCGGCUGCCGAGUCACCGGCUCCCCUGCCCACGGAGCCCAGGCGGUCGGGGACUACGAGUAUAAACCCCCACCUUGCGUCCCCCCCAACAGCUUCAUGGUGCUGACCCGAGCCAACUAUCCCUCCAGGAACCAGAUCAAACAGCAACCGGUGGUGCCCGCUGAGCAGUUCCUGUCCAUCCCGCGAUCCCCACAGGCGCCCCAGAGCCGCCAAGUCUCCCUCAGCAGGACAGAGACCGACAAUGAGCGGCCCCGUGGGGAUGACGACGACAACGACUAUAACAACGAGAUCUACAUCCCCGGCUACGUGGAGGUGCUUCCUGACAGCGUCACCGAGACGUCCCCCACGGAGCUGGUCACCUCAGGGCCAGAGCUCAGGGACAGCGUGUCCUCAGUGGCAAUGGGGGAUGAGUACGAGAACAUGCCGGAGGCCCAGAGGGAGUCGCUGGCUGACAGCCUGGAGUACGUCAACAUGCCAGAGCCUGGAUCCAGCCUCCCUGACGCCCACUACGGCGCCAGCGACCGCGAGAGCGAGGAUGAUGGCCCUGACUAUGAGAACCUGAACCGCUGAGCACGAGGCAGACCCCCAGCUCUGGAGAGUGACACCCCUCCCCCGCGGGGAACCUGCCUUCGAGGAGCGAACCAACAGCUGGAUGAGCCCCCAGGAACCUUGCCAUGGGGGGCCUGAAAAACUCUCCCUGCUGGCCCCACCUCUGCACCCUAUAUCCUGAGAAACCACCUGUGAAAGCCCCACUUGGGGGCUCCGUCUGCCCCCCAGGCUCCCCUCCCCCUGGCCACCAUCGUUAAUUUAUUGCCCUUCCCCCAGUCAAUGCUGGUUCUGCACCUUUUCUGACAUAGCCUGAGAAUUUCCCAGCAUCCUUUGAGGUCUCCCCCCCAUGUCCCCCUCCCCUGGGGGGCAGCCUUGGCCCCCAGAUACCAUGGGGGGUGCAGUCAUGUGGGUUGCACUGGGAGCCCCCCUCCCUCUGCUGCGCUGAGCGACCCCAGCGAGUCCAGUCGUUGAAUAAAGCCGUAGGUGCCGC
rnacentral:lncRNA from 1 species